GUCUCUUUGUGCUGCUGUCUGUGCCAUCUGCCAUUUUGUUCUGGCCUCGUGUCUCCCGCCUAUCGGCCCCUCUCCGCUGGUGAGUACCUUCUUGCUGGGGGUGGACCGGGAUAACCCUUGCCGGUCCGGGGGGGGGGAAUGAGAGCCCCGCCGCAGAAGCUCAGUCUGUUUUGGCGGCAGAGGAGCGGCCAUCUCCUCCGCGCCCGCCAUGUGGUUAG